AUUGAACGCUGGCGGCAGGCCUAACACAUGCAAGUCGAGCGAGCGGCGGACGGGUGAGGAAUGUAUGGGGACUGCCCGAUAGAGGGGGAUAACUACUGGAAACGGUGGCUAAUACCGCAUCCUGUCGGCUAACCCAGAUGGGAUUAGCUGGUAGGUAAGGUAAUGGCCUACCUAGUCGACGAUCCCUAGCUGGUCUGAGAGGAUGAUCAGCCACCAUGGGACUGAGACACGGCCCAGACUCCUACGGAGGCAGCAGUGGGGAAUAUUGGACAAUGGGCGAAAGCCUGAUGCAGCCAUGCCGCGUGUAUGAAGAAGGCCCUAGGAUUGUAAAGUACUUUCAGUUGGGAGGCGUUACCGACAGAAGAAGCACCGGCUAACUCCGUGCCAGCAGCCGCGGUAAUUC
rnacentral:rRNA from 1 species